GAGACAUUAGCUCAGUUGGUUCAGAGCACUACCUUGACAGGGUAGGGGUCACUGGUUCGAAUCCAGUAUGUCUCA
rnacentral:tRNA from 1 species